rnacentral:rRNA from 1 species
AUUGAACGCUGGCGGCAUGCUUUACACAUGCAAGUCGAACGGCAGCGGAGAGUGCUUGCACUCUGCCGGCGAGUGGCGAACGGGUGAGUAACAUAUUGGAACGUACCGAGUAAAGGGGGAUAACUAUCCGAAAGGAUAGCUAAUACCGCAUACGCUUUGAGAAGGAAAGUGGGGGAUCUUCGGACCUCACGUUAUUCGAGCGGCCAAUAUCUGAUUAGCUAGUUGGUGGGGUAAAGGCCUACCAAGGCGACGAUCAGUAGCGGGUCUGAGAGGACGAUCCGCCACACUGGGACUGAGACACGGCCCAGACUCCUACGGGAGGCAGCAGUGGGGAAUUUUGGACAAUGGGCGCAAGCCUGAUCCAGCCAUGCCGCGUGUCUGAAGAAGGCCUUCGGGUUGUAAAGGACUUUUGUUAGGGAAGAAAAGAAAUGGGUUAAUACCCCAUUUUGCUGACGGUACCUAAAGAAUAAGAACCGGCUAACUACGUG